CAGCCGUAAACGAUGCGCGUUAGGUGUAUCGACGACCACGAGUCGUCGAGGUGCCGAAGGGAAACCGUGAAACGUGCCGCCUGGGAAGUACGGUCGCAAGGCUGAAACUUAAAGGAAUUGGCGGGGGCGCACCACAACAGGUGGAGCCUGCGGUUUAAUUGGACUCAACGCCGGGAAGCUCACCGGAUAAGACAGCGGAAUGAUUGCCGGGCUGAAGACUCUGCAUGACUAGCUGAGAGGAGGUGCAUGGCGUAGACGUCU
rnacentral:rRNA from 1 species